UGUUUUUCCCUAGUUCCUGUGUUUCUUACCUUUUGAAGGGAAUCGUGUGGCUUGUUGGACUUUAUCCGUUCCAGUCUCUUUUUUGGGAUUGCGAAGGGCUUUUGAGGUAAAAUAUGUGGCUGCCCAUUUAGUCUAGCUCUAUUGCCGACUAUUUUGGCACACAUGUACUAAUCGUCUUCCUGGAUGCUGUGCAUGAGGCGAACGUGGGUUUUUUCCCAUCGAGUCCUUUAUUGUUUGGUUGCCUUAAAUGAUGCUUGCCUUGAUGCAUGCUUUGCCACUCGUCACUGGGUGCAAAGCUUGCAUGAUGUGCAGA
rnacentral:misc_RNA from 1 species